rnacentral:rRNA from 1 species
UACGUAGGUGACAAGCGUUGUCCGGAUUUACUGGGCGUAAAGAGCGCGCAGGCGGUCGUUCAAGUCGAGUGUGAAAGCCCCCGGCUCAACUGGGGAGGGUCAUUCGAUACUGAUCGACUCGAAGGCAGGAGAGGGUAGUGGAAUUCCCGGUGUAGUGGUGAAAUGCGUAGAUAUCGGGAGGAACACCAGUGGCGAAGGCGGUUGCCUGGGGCUUUGCUGACGCUGAUGCGCGAAAGCGUGGGGAGCGAGUCCGG